CACAAGCGGUGGAGUAUGUGGUUUAAUUCGAUGCAACGCGAAGAACCUUACCUGGUCUUGACAUCCCAGAAAUCCCUUGGAACUGGGAGUGCUUCCAUUAGGAAGAAUCUGGAGACAGGUGCUGCAUGGCUGUCGUCAGCUCGUGUCGUGAGAUGUUGGGUUAAGUCCCGCAACGAGCGCAACCCUUGCCUUUAGUUGCCAGCAGUUCGGCUGGGCACUCUAAAGGGACUGCCGGUGUUAAACCGGAGGAAGGUGGGGAUGACGUCAAGUCCUCAUGGCCUUUAUGACCAGGGCUACACACGUACUACAAUGGCCGAUACAAAGGGCAGCGACAUCGCGAGGUGAAGCCAAUCCCAUAAAAUCGGUCUCAGUCCGGAUUGGAGUCUGCAACUCGACUCCAUGAAGUUGGAAUCGCUAGUAAUCGUGGAUCAGCAUGCCACGGUGAAUACGUUCCCGGGCCUU
rnacentral:rRNA from 1 species